rnacentral:rRNA from 1 species
AACGAACGCUGGCGGCAUGCCUAACACAUGCAGGUCGAACGAGACCUCCGGGUCUAGUGGCGCACGUGUGCGUAACGCGUGGGAACCUGCCCUUAGGUUCGGUAUAACUCCCCGAAAGGGGUGCUAAUACCGGAUAAUGUCUUCGGACCAAAGAUUUAUCGCCUUUGGAUGGGCCCGCGUUGGAUUAGCUAGUUGGUAGGGUAAAAGCCUACCAAGGCGACGAUCCAUAGCUGGUCUGAGAGGAUGAUCAGCCACACUGGGACUGAGACACGGCCCAGACUCCUACGGGAGGCAGCAGUGGGGAAUAUUAGACAAUGGGCGCAAGCCUGAUCCAGCCAUGCCGCGUGAGUGAUGAAGGCCUUAGGGUUGUAAAGCUCUUUUACCCGGGAUGAUAAUGACGGUACCGGGAGAAUAAGCUCCGGCUAACUCCGUG